rnacentral:rRNA from 1 species
CGGGGUGGAGUAACGCGUGGGUAACCUGCCCUGUACAGGGGGAUAACAGUCAGAAAUGACUGCUAAUACCGCAUAAGACCACAGCACCGCAUGGUGCAGGGGUAAAAACUACCGGUGGUACAGGAUGGACCCGCGUCUGAUUAGCUGGUUGGUGAGGUAACGGCUCACCAAGGCGACGAUCAGCAGCCGGCUUGAGAGAGUGAACGGCCACAUUGGGACUGAGACACGGCCCAA